ACACUCAGCGGGCAGGGGAGAUACCAUGAUCAUGAAGGCGGUUUCCCAGGACGAGGCUUAUCCAUUGCACUCUGGAUGUGCUGACUCCUGUGAUUUCCCCAAAUGUGGGGAAGUCGACUGCAUAAUUUGUGGUAGUAUGGGGCUGCAUUCAUGCUCUCCGCU